rnacentral:sRNA from 2 species
ACAGCAAAAAAAUAGAUCUGUAGAUCCGCCUCGUUGGCCAGGAGGUUACAUUGGGAUGGUGUCUUUCUUUCUUUCUUUCUUCCUUUCUUCCCUUGCACUGAAGCCUUGUCACUAAGAUGUCCAUUGAACAACAAAUUCAGACGCAACUCUCGAGACGCAACGCAAACGAGGAUAGACUUCCUUGACUCCUCCUUCUUCACCUUCAAACAACUUUCACUGAGAAGAUGUCUCAGAAGUGUAUGGAUGGAGAGCUUAUCAAAAUUGUGUGUUCAUUUAUAUGGAGCUUGUUCUGGGAGACAUGGCUAUAUGAUUGAUGAGAAAUGAGCGGGAUGGAAACUUCAUUUGUGAUCAGCUAAGGAAGAUUGUUUCUUUGUUUCGGCAAAUUGAGCCAGAUCCCAGUGACUCUUUUAUCAGGAUGCAUGUAUUCCACAAUGUCUAUCAGUUGAGUUUUUGUAUUAAGUAACUAUA